rnacentral:rRNA from 1 species
AGUGAACGUUGGCGGCGUGGAUUAGGCAUGCAAGUCGAGCGAUCGUAGCAAUACGGGAGCGGCAAACGGGGUAGGAAUACAUCGGAACGUACCUUUUGGUUGAGAAUAGCGUUGGGAAACUGACGGUAAUACUCAAUAAAGUCGAGAGACCAAAGGUUUACUGCCGGAAGAGCGGCCGAUGCGAUAUUAGGUAGUUGGUGGGGUAAUGGCCUACCAAGCCUGAGAUGUCUAGGGGGUGUGAGAGCAUGGCCCCACCACUGGGACUGAGAUACUGCCCAGACACCUACGGGUGGCUGCAGUCGAGGAUCUUCGUCAAUGGGCGAAAGCCUGAACGAGCGACGCCGCGUGCGGGGAUGAAGGCCCUUGGGUUGUAAACCGCUGUCAGGGGGGAUGAAACCGUAAGGUUGACAGAGCCCCAGAGGAAGCACGGGCUAAGUUCGUGCCAGCAGCCGCGGUAAU